ACUUACUGACGUGACCCAGCUGUCUUCUCCAGCUUGUUCCUAACUCUGUCUUUUGGCAUCAGUUUCAGAUUAUGAUUAUUUCUCUGUGAGCGGUGACCAGGAGGCAGAACAACAAGAGUUUGACAAAUCUUCCACAAUCCCAAGAAACAGUGACAUUAGCCAGUCCUAUCGCAGAAUGUUUCAAACCAAGCGUCCUGCUUCCACUGCAGGUCUGCCAACCACACUUGGACCGGUCAUAGUCACCCCUGGCGUCGCCACCAUCAGACGGACCCCUUCCACCAAGCCAUCAGUCAGACGCGGUACCAUAGGGGGAGGUCCGAUUCCAAUCAAGACGCCAGUGAUUCCUGUCAAAACACCAACUGUUCCAGAUAUCCCAGGGGGGCUGCCCGGCACCCUCGCCGGGACAGAAGAAUGUCCCGAGCAAAGUCCCGAGUCUCCGGCACCAGGAGAUGGCGGGCAAGGUGUCACCAGCAUGCCUUCAUCCUCGUGGAGCGGACAAGCGUCUGUCAACCCUCCGCCAUCAAGCCAGAAACUGAGCGCUGCCGACGAGCAGAGGCAACCGGUUCCAGAGAGCGAGGGGGAAGAAAGCGACCGGGAUGGUGUCGGCACCCUCGCGCCUGCGGGCCAGCCAGAGCUCGAUCCCGGAGAGCUGAGUCCUGGGGAUGUUCCACAGGGUGAAGAUAUGCUGAACGCCAUUCGGCGCGGUGUCAAACUGAAGAAGACGACCACGAAUGAUCGCUCAGCACCUCGUAUUUCCUAGGAGUGGAAAAGCUGCCAGAGUACUAGCCGCCGAGAAGGAACUGUGAGGAAGCUAAUUUGUCUCUAUCCAUUCCAAUCUGUAAUCAAUGAUUUUUUUAAGAUACUCGGUAACAGACAGUCUGAAAGUACUCUAAAAGAGAAAACAAGGUGAAAGAGCGUAGUAAGACAUAAUCUUCACUGGUGUUUUAAUUUGUAAAUAUCAAUAAUUUUGUUUCUGCAUUUUUUGAUCUAAGUUACACUUUUAAUUUUUUCUGAAGGUGCCAAAUCCCAUUUACCUUUUUUAUAACUCUCUUUGUAAAGUUUUAAAUCAUAGGAGAAAA